UGGGGAAUUUUGCGCAAUGGGGGAAACCCUGACGCAGCAACGCCGCGUGACCGAUGAAGCUUCUAGGAGCGUAAAGGUCUGUCGUAAGGGAAGAAAAGUUUGGAUGUUAAUAAUGUUUGAACCUGACGGUACCUUACAAGAAAGCACCGGCUAACUUAGUGCCAGCAGCCGCGGUAAUACUAGGGGUGCGAGCGUUGUCCGGAAUCACUGGGCGUAAAGGGUCCGUAGGCGUCUCAAUAAGUCACUUGUUAAAGACACCGGCUUAACCGGUGGCCUGCAUGUGAAACUGUUGAGAUAGAGUAUAGGAGAGGAAAGUGGAAUUCCUGGUGUAGCGGUGACAUGCGUAGAUAUCAGGAGGAACACCAAUGGCGAAGGCAACUUUCUGGCCUAUUACUGACGCUGAGGGACGAAAGCGUGGGGAGCGAACAGG
rnacentral:rRNA from 1 species